UCGAUGUAAUUAGUUCAGAAUUUUGGCACCGUAUUUGGUCACUCGAGCAUUUACCUUAUGCAGGCAUUUACAUUGCUCCUUUAAUACCUUGUGGAUUAUACAUCCUAGUUGCUGCUUAGUUUCUGCUUUAGGCAGUUUGUAUUCCAGGGAAUGUACUGGUAUACUGAUAGCCCACUUUUCUUUAGUAGCAGCAAAGCGUGUGUGUUAAGCAUAUAUUUUACAUCAGCCAAGCAUGUGAAGUUAGCCUGGAAAUACAUUUAAAUUUUUCCUACAUGGCAGAAAUCUGCUAUCCCUUUUGAUACAGUCUAUUCAUGUGCCGCUGGCACAUACCAAAUCAUGGUAGGCCCUGCUUAGAGCAGGGGGUUGGAUUAGAUGACUUCCAGACGUGCCUUUCAGCCCAAAUUACCCUAUGAUUUUUGAUAAAUAUGACGAUAGCAUAAGGGAUAAUGGUGAUGGUGAUCCGUGGCAGAAGGAUCAAGGGUAUGAAAUGAAUUCCUGUGGAGGAAAAACAUAGCAAUAAGGAAGAAGGGUUGUAGAGACAGGAUCAGCUUCUCACUCUGCUGCCACCUUUGCAGAUUAUAGAAACUGAGGUCAAGUAAAACAACUUGGCUGUAAAACUGAAACUGCAGCUUGGCAGUUGCGUUAAGCUAACCACGAAGAAUAGGCUGCUGCCAAGGAGGGGGUCCCUGCUCUCAGCUGCGCGUUCCUGCCUUCCCCUUGGUGGUGAAAUUGGUGCUCAUGUGCUGAAGCAUAUCAGGAACUGAUCUGGCAUGAAGCUUGUAAGCUGCUGCAUGGCUGUGACAAUGUGCUGCUAGAGGCAGGGAGACACUUCUGCAGGCACAGCCGCUGUGUAAUUUGGUCCAGGCUGUGCCAGCAGUUUGUUGCUUUGCAGGUGCUUGUGUACCUCACAGUGGUGCUGUGCUCAGGAGGAAGUGAGAGGUGCUUACAAUGUGUUAGGUCCUGGCUGCAAGGAGUCCUCCUGCAUUGCAAUUCAGGUGAUGGGAUUCCUCAUGGAGAGCCUGGGGAGUGGAGGAAGCAGGGCAGGAAGCAGUGCUGCUCUCUCUUCCCAGCCCUUCCUGUCUCUUUCUGUAGAGGUGCACCCAAUAUUUGUGUUCAUCUACUUUUCUAAGCUUUGGACCAGUCAAAUGCUGGUGGGGGUGUUCUUUCCCCACUGUUUAGUAUGCUUCACAACAGAGAUGAACAAAUGAAGGGCUUGCCUAAAUUUACAAAGCUAUGUGCAGAAAAUUACAAUUCCUGAAAUGUUAUAGAUGAAGCUCCAGUUCUCCAUGGGACAAUGUUGUUUGUGCAGGGAAAAAUGUUCUCAACACUAUGUGCAGCAGUGCAACUUUAAGCAUCUUACCCAUAUUGAGAAUAAUAGCUUUAAGACCUGUGAUUCUAUCUACCACCUAACUUUUUGAUUAAGCUGCUUUCUGCCUGCUAGAUUUCCUGAUGUUUCACACACCCAGGAGCUUCCAAACAGGUAUAGAGUCUUAACACUGAUGAGAAAAGUGAUUGUUACAGAAAGCUUCUGGCAACAUAAACUAUCACAUCUCAUGCGUAUACUCAAAAGAAAUGCGUUGCUGAUACACCAGUUCUUUUGGUGUCACCUGCUUUAUUUUUGAGUGAAGGAUGACUGUCAGGAAUGAUGCAGAAACAGCAAAUGUGGUGUGGGGAGAACGUCACAGUUCUUGUAACACAGGCUGGUGUGUCAGUUUGUGGCCUCUGAAUAUGUAACCUUCCUAUUAAACAGCAGCGUUGAAUUCUGCUGGAGAAGGGAAAAGCAUUGAAGCUUUCAGAUAGUGUGAGGGCAACAUCUGCUUGUCAAUGCUUGGAAAUGAGCUCUUAACCCUGGAGAGGCUGAAUUUUCACUUGCAGUAGGGUAAGAUGAGAGCAUUUAGACUUGCCAGUAGCAAGAUUUAGACGUGUAGAAUAUUUUGGAGUGACUAGAUUUUUCUUGGAUACCUUCAUUUAUUGUGUAUUUUAAGAAACAGAGUAUACAAACACGAGUGUUGUAGAGGUAUUGUUGUUCCAGGAUGGUACAACCUGUACCGUACCCUGGGUGAGGCCACAUUGCCUGAGUCUCCUUCCUUUAGGGAGAGAUACUUAGAGGGCAGUGGGGGUUGCAGCUCUUAAGUGUAACUGCUAGUGUUGGUGAAGGAUAAGUGUACAGAACUGGCUGUCUUGCUCACUGCCUGUUACAAGUGGCAGUGUACAAACUCCCUCCUUUUGAUAUCUGGAAGGUAAGUCCAUAAAUGGAUGUGUAAUUUUUGCAAGCUUCACCUAGGCUAUUAUUCUGCAGAUAAUGAAGCGUUGACCAUCUUGCAAAUGUGUUCCACAGUCCUUCCUUUGUUUUUCUGAUAUAACCAUGCAAAGAUGUAACCAUGGAAAGUUAGGAAAUGCAGCGUUUCAUGGUCUUGGCCUUAACCAGGAAUCUGAGGCUGCCUGGAGAAAGUUAACAGCUAUGGAAAUCCACUUCAUUAACGUGGUGAUUGAGAAGCAAACUUUGUUUCUUUAUUUCUGCAGAACUAAUUGAUGUUCUGGAUAGCACUAGGGAGAAGGAAAGGUGUUCUAUAUUUUGCAGUUAACAGAACACAGUCAGUGUGAUGCUGAAAGUUGGAAACAAAAACCAGUGGUAGUAACAGAUUGUGCCUCAACCUGAUACAGGAUGCAGCAAGCAGGGCAAGCAGACUGCUUGGGCUCUAGCCGAAGGCUGGCUGGUUUCUAUGCCUUGUACAAUGUUUGUCUUGCUUCUAGUGCCUCACUGGAGCGUGCUGUAAAAGGAUUCAGGAUGUGGAAAAUCAGACACUUCCUCUUUGGUUUUUUGAAGACAUGGUUCUUUAACCUAGGAAACUGGAAUGGACCAUCAUGUCUCAAGGAAUAUGACCGUUUGAUUAAUCUCUAGUGAUUUGUGGCUGAGACACCUAUGCCUGGAAUGGAUGAUGCUGCUAGAGCAGGUUAUUCUUUUGCUCAUGGCUUUCUUCACUUGACA